GGAGAAUAAACACCCAGACUUUACUGUGUUCUAUCUCUCAUCUCUAGCCAAAUGGUAGAACCCAAGUGGAAGCCAGAGGGCAAGGAAGCCUAUGAUGGAGACCAUACACAUCAUCCUCUGGGAGCACUGAGCCAGGUCUAUAAUGUGUUCGGUAGAGGAAGCAAAAAAGAAGAGAAUCUGAACACUCCUAUGAGUCUGCCAUUCAAGGCUGUGCUGCCAGGAGGAAGAUGAUGAAGACAGACCAAACAAAUCCGCUCCUCAACACACAUCACAAAGUCCCCUCACUCCUCAAUGGAACAAGCACCCAUUUAUUUAGCCUCCUUUCAAAUAACGACCCUUGUCAGAGGCUAAACCUGCCAACCUCACUUGGGAGGACCAGCCUCUGAAGACCUAGUGUGAACUCAGGAGUGGCUGACAGGUCCCCAAGACAAAGUAGGCACUUUGAUGCUCGGCCUUCGUCUUCAGUCAGCUUUGCCUGGGCAGUGGGCAUGGAAAUCACAGAGAGAUGUAAUAUCUCCUCCCUCGAAUCCGAGACUCUUGACCUUCGGUGAGACAGGAGACUGCAGCAGAAAUUCUUGAUUAUCUGUCAUUCUCUCUCUUUUCUUAUUAAUAGAAACACAUUUUACAUGGAGUUACAACCCGCUCAGCCGAGAGACCAUAUUUCCCAGCCUGUCUUGAGGGUGGGUGUGGGCAGGAAGAUGGAAGUGGAUUUCUGGGACAGCCCAUUAAUAGGGGGACAGAACACUGGAGUGGAGCUUUUUUUGCCCUCCCCUCCCCAUCGCACUGUUCUCCUGCUUCCUUUCUAGAAGACAGAUGUUCAGCUAAGGCUCUAGCAGCCAUCUUAAACCAUGAGAUGGGUACCACAUACUGAGGACCACCCUGUGGAACACCACACCCGCUCUGAGGGAAAUUCAUAACUCUCCCCCAAAAGCUGCCUAUGUGCACACACAUAGUUUUGCAAACAACUUCCAGUUUCCUGAGCCCUGAAACCAAUGCACGGACCCCAGGUUAAGAACCCUGCCUUAGAGAUGUGGGGAGAGCCAGCUCUACCCCAGCUUCUUAAAUCACCAUGUUAAACUGGGGAGAUUCUAGGAUUGUCUUGUGACCACAUCCUCUGUAACCUGACAGCCCUCUUCUCCCCCCUCCCUCGCCUCAUUCCUCUGAAGCUGGUUCAGUCUGAAGCUGGUUCUGAAGCUGGGCUGCCCAUCUCUCCUCUCCUCACCUCCUCUCCUUCCCUCUCCCCAGCUAUUCUCCCUGGGCUGCCAAUCCCGCUCCGAAGUCACUUUAUACCAGGAAGGAAAUUAGCAUUUGUGUUGGGACAGAAAGCGACACUGCUCAGCUCUCACUGUCAUUCUGCUCUUAAUUAAUAUUUAACCUCAGAGAGAUUGUGCAGCAGACGGAAGAGGCUGAUGGGAGAACAAAGCUGGAGCUGGCUCUCCUUUUCAGCACUGCCUCUCCCACUUCCAGCUUCUCUCCCUGCACCUUCGGGCCCUGAAGGACGCAGAGGGCCCAACGGGAAGUGAGGAGGGGAGGCAGAGGAAGCCCCUGAGGACCCUCGGUUGUACUUUUUGGUUUUUCUCGCUCAAAUCUCUUGUCUAGAGAACCCUUCUGCAACAAGAUGAGAGCAGCUGGAGCUCAGAACCCCAUCCCCAGGGCCCAGAGCUAGACCCGGGCCUGGGCUGCCCAGAAGGAUAAAGAGACCGGAGGGGGAAAGGAAAGCAAUGCAAAUGUGCCCCUCCACAGAUUAUAUUUAAUGCACUAUUUUUAGUUGCCUUCAAUCCCUCGGGGCUGUCAGGGCGCAUGCAGCCCCACUCCCCCGGGAGAGGAAAUGACAGGCAUUAUUACCCAGCCCAGAACACUGGUGCAGUGCGUGAUGGGUGGGGGAGGUGCUGCCUUGCCGGCUCCAAGAUUGGGGAACUUAGUUUCCAACGGGAAAUUGAGGACACCGAGAAAGAUCAGGCCACGGACAGAAGGUCCGCAGGACCCCCCUCCCCCGUUCCCCUCCAGCCUGCCAGACCGUCCCCAAAUCCAGUCCACUGGGCGGGGACCAGGAGUGUGGGAGUCUCCUCCGUCCCCCAAGUGUCUGUAAAGUAGGUUAUACAACAUCCCUCCUGCCAAAUUCUUCCCUCUCUCUAAUCUUAGCCCUGCCUUCGGUCUAAGCCCAUUUCCCCUUGCUCCGCAUGCAGAGGCAAAGGAGGACAGCUGGUCACCACCCCCCAGCAAGAGAGCCCUUCUUUGUCUUGAAGAAGAUGAUUCAGUUUCCUCUCGGCCUUCUCUUCUCCAACCUGAGUCAUUCUGGUUCUUUUAACCUUCCACACAUGUCAUGUUUUUUAGCUCAUCUCCUUGUCACUCUUCUAACUCCGCUCUGAAUAUUUCCCCAGGUUCCUCCUUGGAACCUCAGCAGAUGCUGGGCCUUCGCCAGGGAGCACCUGAGCACCCAUCUGAAUGGCGGAACUUAUCCUGCACCGCCUCGGAGAGGUUUUCUAAUUGUCUUAGUUGUCCGGCCUCCGCAGGACCAAACCCUCCUUACAGAUCACAUCCUCUCCCUCUGCAUCGUCCCUCACCCUCCGCUACACAAGCUAAGUGCAAGGCUUCUAAGUAGUGGCACAUGCAUUUUCACUGUGUUUAGGUUUAAAUGAGAUGCAGAUAUAAAAUUUUUCAGCAAAGUAGUUAUCAUUUACUUUGUAAAUUAUACAAUGGCAUCUAAGUGGUAGCUUUUAUUAUUGUGGUGCUCGCCAGACCUCUGGAGAAUGUUUGUUUUCUUAACCAUAGCAUUAUCCUGUAUUAUAUUCAUUCAUUUGAUAAAUAUUUAUUGAGUUCCUAUAUGUCAGGCACUAUGCUAGAUGCUGAGAUGUCAAAAUGAAAGACCGAUCCUGGCUCCACAGGCAUUCACAGCCUAGUGAGGAAGAUAAGAUGUAAACAAUUACUAGGCAGGGUUGUAACUGUUAAUAAAGUGCUAGCGGAAUAUUGAGAAGGAGGAGACUGACCACAGCUCUUCACUCUAUGAUUCUGCCUUGGUAGGGGUUGAUAUGGAUGUGUUUAUGGCUGCCAGCAUCGCGUCCUAGGCUUGGUCCAGUCUGUGUUGUCCUGGAGUGUUUGUCAGUAAUGUGGACAAAUACCCAUGAAGGGCUGAGCAGAACGCUUUCAAAAAUGUGGUAUAUAGGGGCUUCCCUGGUGGCGCAGUGGUUGAGAAUCUGCCUGCCAAUGCAGGGGACACGGGUUCGAGCCCUGGUCUGGGAAGAUCCCACAUGCCGCGGAGCAACUAGGCCCGUGAGCCACAACUACUGAGCCUGCGCGUCUGGAGCCUGUGCUCCGCAACAAGAGAGGCUGCGACCGUGAGAGGCCCGCGCGCUGCGAUGAAGAGUGGCCCCCGCUUGCCGCAACUAGAGAAAGCCCUCACAUGAAAUGAAGACCCAACACAGACAAAAAUAAAUUAAAAAAAAAAAAAAUGUGGUAUAUGGAUACAUACAGAGAGAUGGUCUCUCUCUUUUUUUUUUUUUUCAGUUUGGGCCUAACUGCAGCCUUCUCACCAAUGCGAGGGUAAAUCUAAUACAGAGAGACUCUGAGGGAAGCACUGCUGAAAAUGGCAAGGGAAACAGAGACCUGACAACACCAUCCUAAGCCCCUGGGUCCAGCCAUGCCAACCCAGUUAAGUGGCCCAAGAAAUUCUUGGUUUUGUUUAAAUUUGUAAUUCCAGAAGGAAGCAGAAGCCUGACAAGAGCCCUCAAUACCAAGACCCUUUCCUAGAGGGGAGCAGAAGGUGGUUGCCUAACGUGCCAAUUUAGUGUAAUUUGUCUCUAUGGCCCCAUGACUCUAAGAUACAUGGAUUGAGGAGAAAUUCAUCCAGGCAGGAGAAGUGGCAAGGUAAUGGAGGAGCUUUGGGGUUGAACAGACUUGAGUGGAAUCCCAGCUCUGCUGCUUCCCAGCUGUGUGACUUUGUUCAAGUUACCUAACCUCUCUUUUUCCCCACAUGUCCCUUGCUGGUAAAACAUGGAUAAUACUAUUUGCAUCAUUGGGCUACUGUGAGCAUUAUAGGACAUAAUGUACUGAGAAUGGACAUGCAUUACUCAGUCAGUCCUGUCCGGAACAACCCCCUUUCU